UACGGAGGGGGCUAGCGUUGUUCGGAAUUACUGGGCGUAAAGCGCGUGUAGGCGGCUUUGCAAGUCGGGUGUGAAAGCCCUCAGCUCAACUGAGGAAGUGCGCCCGAAACUGCUUAGCUUGAAUGCCGGAGAGGAUGGCGGAAUUCCCCAAGUAGAGGUGAAAUUCGUAGAUAUGGGGAGGAACACCGGUGGCGAAGGCGGCCAUCUGGACGGACAUUGACGCUGAGACGCGAAAGCGUGGGUAGCAAACAGG
rnacentral:rRNA from 1 species